rnacentral:RNase_P_RNA from 2 species
AGAGUUGGUCUAGAGGUUGCGGGAUCAUUUGAUCAAUGAUUCCGAGGAAAGUCCGAACUCCCGAAAGACCACACUUGCUGGAUAACGUCCAGUACGCGCGAGCGUGAGGAUAGUGCCACAGAAAAAUACCGCCCCCUUUUUUCAGUGUUGCCAAAGGCACGGCGUAGCCGUCCAGUAAACAGUGAUCAGUAAACAGUAACGAAAGUAAAUUCACUGAUAACUAAUAACUUUCCACUGAUAACUGAUAACUGAUAACUGAUAACUGAUUGGGGGUAAGGGUGCAAAGGUGCGGUAAGAGCGCACCAGCAGUAUCGAGAGGUACUGGCUCGGUAAACCCCGGUGGGGAGCAAGGUGGAGGGACAAAGGUUGGUCUUUUUCCUGUCCCGUUUUUAGGAACCGCUUGAGGUAAUUGGUAACAAUUAUCCCAGAUAGAUAACCUCUAUUCCAACAAAGGUAAAAGCAAUUUUACUGCUGUUGGGAAAUACAGAAUUCGGCUUAUGUCUGACUCUCUCC